rnacentral:sRNA from 1 species
UGUUAAGCAAGGAAAGAUUGAUCUUAAUAUGGGGAAGGAUUUUAAAAU